AUUGAACGCUGGCGGCAGGCCUAACACAUGCAAGUCGAACGAGUGGCGGACGGGUGAGUAAUGUCUGGGAAACUGCCCGAUGGAGGGGGAUAACUACUGGAAACGGUAGCUAAUACAGCAUACCAUCGGAUGUGCCCCGAUGGGAUUAGCCAGUAGGUGGGGUAACGGCUCACCUAGGCGAUGAUCCCUAGCUGGUCUGAGAGGAUGACCAGCCAGCCUGGAACUAGGACAUGGUCCAGACUCCUACGGGAGGCAACAGUGAGGAAUCUUGCACAAUGGGCGCAAGCCUGAUGCAGCGAUGCCGCGUGGAUGACGAAGGCCUUCGGGUUGGAAAGUACUUUCAGCGAGGGGGCGUUACUCGCAGAAGAAGAACCGGCUAACUCCGUGCCAGCAGCCGCGGUAAUAC
rnacentral:rRNA from 1 species